rnacentral:rRNA from 1 species
AUGGCGGCCCUGCAGCUGCAGGGGAGAAGGCUCCUCCUUUUGCAGCCCCUCCCCCUCCUCGCGCGGCAAGCCCUCCGCCGUGCCGUCCCGCCGCCCAUCCCCCGCUGCCGCUUCCUCGGCUCCUCCUCCCCGCCCGCGGCACCGGCCUCCCCCUCCCCGCCCGCACCCGGCCCCCGCUCCCCGUCCGGCUCGCUCCUGCCGACGAGCGCCGCGGCCGUCGUGCCGGCCGCGCGCGGCGCUGGGUCCCCCGGCCUCGAGAUCUCCGCUCCGCAGCGAGGCCGGGCCACCUCGGGCUGGCCCCUUCCGUCGUCGGCAUUGCUCCACGCCGUGGCGCCCUGGGCGCUCUGGACAUCGGCCGCGGCUGAUGACAUGGUGGGCGCGCUCAUCGGCGCCAACUUGUCCGUCUUCAUGCUCUGGCGCGUGCUCGCCUAUCCCAGGUUCAUCACGGAUCCUCACAUGACCUCGCUGGACAAUUUCACGAGUGGACGUUUGCACACGAUGCUCACCAGUUCUUUCAGCCACAUGAACCUUAAGCACCUCUUCAACAACAUGGUCGGCCUCUACUUCUUCGGCUCGAGCAUUGCCCGCACGUUUGGUCCUGGUUUUCUUUUCCAACUGUACGUUACUGGAGCACUUACUGGGUCUGUAUUCUACCUGGCAGAAAAGAUUUUUCUAGCUCCACGAAAAGAGGGUGCAAGUGCUGCAGUUAAUGCAAUUAUUCUUCUUGAGAUAUUUCUGCAUCCGACGAAGCUACUAUACUUGCACCUUUUCAUUCCGGUUCCAGCUGCAUUAGUGGGAGUUGGUUUGAUUGGUGCUGAUUUGUGGAGGGUCAAGAAGGGUGGGAGUCGCGUGUCAGGCUCUUCUCAUCUGGGAGGUGCCCUAGUCGCGGCGGUUGCCUUUGCAAAAAUCAAGGGCUGGAUCUGA